UUUUACAUAAUCCUUUCCCAAUGGAAGAGAAAAAGUUCCAAAAGCGACUCCGCUUCAACAGCUUAACAGACAGCUAACCAGCGAGAAAAAACGAAAACUCAUGACAGAUCCGAUGUCAAAUUGGUGCAGCUACCCUGCGGGAAAAUGUCAACAUUGUGAUGAAAAGAGUGCUCACAAAUCGCCUCAUGUCUAUAAUGAACAUGGAUGGGACUGGUGACAAGCUGCCUUUCAGAAGAAUGGAACUUUAUAAGGUCACAAUAGGUGCCAUCCAGAAGUUACAACCCGGCAUCACAGAAGCUUCCAUUGGUAGCCUUA